rnacentral:misc_RNA from 1 species
UUUCCGUAGGUGAACCUGCGGAAGGAUCAUUAAUGUGUUUGGGCCUCACGGCUCUUCAUUCCGACGCUGUGCGCCUUCGGGCUGCACGCUGAGGGAGCAUAUAUCCACCCCUGUGCACACACACGGUGGCGAGCUGGGUAACGGCUCGCCGCUGAUCUUUACACACGUCUAAAAGUCAUUGUAUGUUUAUUUGAGAUAAAAACACAACUUUCAGCAACGGAUCUCUUGGCUCUC